GAUGAACGCUGGCGGCGUGCCUAAUACAUGCAAGUCGAGCGAACGGACGAGAAGCUUUCUUCUCUGAUGUUAUCGGCGGACGUGUGAGUAACUCGUGGAUAACCUACCUUUUAUUCUUGUAUAACUUCGUGAAACCUUAUCUAAUACCGGUUAAUAUUUUGAUCCGCAUUGUUCUAUAGUUUUAUACGUUCUUUCUGUCACUUAUAGAUGUUUCCGCUCUGCAUUAGCUAGUUGGUAAGGUAACGGCUUACCAAGGCAACGAUGCAUAGCCGACGUGAGAGGGUGAGCGGACACACUGGAACAGAGACACGGAAAAGACGACGACGGGAGGCAGCAGUAGGGAAUAGUCCGCAAUGGGCGAAAGAAUGACGGAGCAACGCCGCGUGAGUGAUGAAGGACUUCGGAUCGUAAAAAACUGUUAUGAGGGAAGAAAAAAAGUGUAAGAAAAAGUGCACAGAGUGACGGUAACAAAAAAGAAAGAAACGGCUAACUACGUG
rnacentral:rRNA from 1 species